GUGAAUGAUGAUAAAUGCACUGGGCUCUGAGCAGUUUUUUUUUUCUUUGAUGGAAAUGCAGCCUAGAAAGCUGUUUCUGAUAC